UACGAAGGGGGCUAGCGUUGCUCGGAAUCACUGGGCGUAAAGGGUGCGUAGGCGGGUUUUUAAGUCAGGGGUGAAAUCCUGGAGCUCAACUCCAGAACUGCCUUUGAUACUGAAGAUCUUGAGUCCGGGAGAGGUGAGUGGAACUGCGAGUGUAGAGGUGAAAUUCGUAGAUAUUCGCAAGGAACACCAGUGGCGAAGGCGGCUCACUGGCCCGGUACUGACGCUGAG
rnacentral:rRNA from 1 species